rnacentral:rRNA from 1 species
ACCUACGGGGGGCGCAGUGAGGAAUAUUGGUCAAUGGUCGGGAGACUGAACCAGCCAAGCCGCGUGAGGGAGGAAGGUACAGAGUAUCGUAAACCUCUUUUGUCAGGGAACAAAGGCGGGGACGUGUCCCCGGAUGAGUGUACCUGAAGAAAAAGCAUCGGCUAACUCCGUGCCAGCAGCCGCGGUAAUACGGAGGAUGCGAGCGUUAUCCGGAUUUAUUGGGUUUAAAGGGUGCGCAGGCGGUCUGUUAAGUCAGCGGUCAAAGCCCGGGGCUCAACCCCGGCCCGCCGUUGAAACUGGCAGUG